UACGCCCGUAUCACGUUGAAACACGGAUUUCCGUACGAUCACCAAAGUUAAGCAACGUUGAAUCUGGUAAGUACCUAGAUAGGUGACCGUUUUGGAAUACCAGGUACUGCAAG